rnacentral:tRNA from 1 species
AAUCGGUAAGUCAUAAAUUUUUGGUAUUUACUAUUGGGUGUUCGAGUCGCCCCAACAUAAUAUGUUGUCGACU